rnacentral:tRNA from 1 species
UUAAAUUUAGUUAAAAAAUAACAUUAGUAUGUCAUACUAAAAUUAUUAAUUUUACUUUAGUAACUUAAA